rnacentral:rRNA from 1 species
GACGAACGCUGGCGGCGUGCUUAACACAUGCAAGUCGAACGGAAAGGCCCUGCUUUUGUGGGGUGCUCGAGUGGCGAACGGGUGAGUAACACGUGAGUAACCUGCCCUUGACUUUGGGAUAACUUCAGGAAACUGGGGCUAAUACCGGAUAGGAGCUCCUGCUGCAUGGUGUGGGUUGGAAAUUUUCGGCGGUUGGGGAUGGACUCGCGGCUUAUCAGCUUGUUGGUGGGGUAGUGGCUUACCAAGGCUUUGACGGGUAGCCGGCCUGAGAGGGUGACCGGCCACAUUGGGACUGAGAUACGGCCCAGACUCCUACGGGAGGCAGCAGUGGGGAAUAUUGCAAAAUGGGCGGAAGCCUGAUGCAGCAACGCCGCGUGCGGGAUGACGGCCUUCGGGUUGUAAACCGCUUUCGCCUGUGACGAAGCGUGAGUGACGGUAAUGGGUAAAGAAGCACCGGCUAACUACGUG